UACUAUCCCUCUUUCGACUCUCUCACAUAUGCAUACAAUGACGUGAUAACGAAAAAAGUAACUAUUUUCACACUCUUUCAUUUUGUGGGUGCCUCUCUUUACUUAUUUAGUUCGUCACAAAAAUCCACAAAUUUCAACGUAACUCUCUUGUAACACUCUUUCAUUUAUGUGUUCGUUAAUAUAUAUAAUUAUGGAAACUAUUUUACGACAUAUUGCUGCAUAUCAUGUGAAAGAAAGCAACGUAUCGAAGACACCGGCCUAUUCAUGGGUAAAAUGAAGGUGAUUGUACACAAUUUUUUUGAUAUGUUCAGAAUAUUAAAAUUGUGUAGAAUUACGGAGUCCACGUUUUACCUUUACGUGGGGAAAUCGGUUACAACAAAUAUAUAUGUAGGUACAUGUAUUGCUACAAGAAAGUCGAUCGAGGCCCAAAAUGAAGCCCAAGUGAACAUAUUCUUACAGUGUGGCCGCCCUUCUCAUGAGCAUUCAGUCCAUUUAAACUAAUGUUGUUCAUUCUUUUUCUUAAUAUUGUGUAAUUUUUGUUUUGUAUAUUGAUAAGGUUAUUCAAUUUUUA